GCCACCUCCAUGGCAACAGAUGCUGUCAAAAGCCUCAGGUUCGCUUGGAGGAUGAGGAGUGAAUUGCCAGGAACCAGCAAGCGAGGCUGAAGAACAGAAAUCUGAAGACGGCAGGCAGCUUCAAUACGUGGGAAAAACAGUGAAAAAGCCUAGCGCCACCAGGAUGGAGUAGGCCGUUAACGUAGAUUUGAAAGGGUAGUUCCCAGGUAAUGGAGAGAAGGGGCGAUGGAGAGAGAAGGCUCAUCUUACUCUGAGGCAUCGAGGGACCUGAACCACCUCUUGCGUGGACGAAUGCUCUCCCUGUAGGAGAAAAAGGCAAUUAACGUGUGUGGCGAAGAGCGAGAAGAAACAGCAACCGUGACAGGAAUCGUUAGCUCUGGCUUCUUUUGUGUGGGUACCGCAAGGUCAGAGCUUGAACAAGGGGAAAACCGGCAUAUGUCUUCGCUAACAAGCAUGACAACCAAGUAGCUGAGUCGAUUCAUGUUGCGAUCCAGAGAAACCCUAGUCUUUGACAGGAUCUGGGAAGUGAGGAUUCUGUUUUCCACGACUGCAAACUACCCUUCUUGUUCCCUACCUCUUCUCGAUGUGUGUGCUGCACUGACGUUGAUCUUGGACUGGCGUCCUCUUUGCAUACGUACGCGUUCUCUUCUGCGUCACAUCUCUCAAAAGGAGGCUCUGCACCAUCUCUGUUUCGAACGGAGGCUGUUAGGGAAAAGAGGAAGUCUUUUGGGUCAUCGAAACGAGAGUGGAGUGGGGAAAGCUGAUAUCCGUGUUCUGCUGAAAGACCCACCAACCCUGUCUUCCUCGUUAAAAAUCCAAAAGAAGCGCUUCAGAGAAGAGCUAGAGAACAGGAAAAGAAGUGUAGGUGCCGUGCGGUGGCGUAGCCACAGCCCCGGGCGCCCGUCUCGGCGAGGAAGCGGCUGGAGAUGGCUUGGUCCGGUCAGGAGCUCCAGCUCAAAGGGACCGACUGGCCGAAGCGGGGCGGGCUGCGGAGGUGCCGUCUCUGCCAAGGUUUCCGAUGUUCCUGCUAUACUCCGAUGAAACAUUAUACAGAAAGAUAUAGGCAAAGCAUUAUGCUCACAGCCUUUGCCAACAAGUUAUGUUUUAAUGUAAUUUAACUGUAAUCUCAGAGUGUUUUUGUUAGCUAUAAUUAGUAAAAUAUGUCUGUUUUCUGUGUUCCUUGAAGACGUCUGAACUCCUGCCAGUUCCCUAUAGUUUUCCUGACAUGCAGCGUAACAAGCAGACCACCAAAAUGUAUUUACCAAUAACUGUUUAUUUACAUUCCGUGAAAUCUAAUAACAUUUGCUGCCUUCAUUCGGGAUAAAUGCUGGCCAAUGUGUAAAGCAUAAAAAAAAUAAACAUUGACUUAAUUUCUA
rnacentral:lncRNA from 1 species